rnacentral:rRNA from 1 species
UAUGACCACUGCUGAGGCCUAACACAUGCAGUCGAGGGGUAACAUAGUAGCUUGCUACUGAUGACGACCGGCGCACGGGUGCGUAACGCGUAUGCAACCUACCUCUUACUGGGGGAUAGCCUCUGGAAACGGAGAUUAAUACCCCAUAGUAUCAUUUGUCCUCCUGGAUUUUUGAUUAAAGGUUACGGUAAGAGAUGGGCAUGCGUCCUAUUAGCUAGAUGGUGUGGUAACGGCACACCAUGGCAACGAUAGGUAGGGGCCCUGAGAGGGGGAUCCCCCACACUGGUACUGAGACACGGACCAGACUCCUACGGGAGGCAGCAGUGAGGAAUAUUGGACAAUGGGCGGAAGCCUGAUCCAGCCAUGCCGCGUGCAGGAAGACUGCCCUAUGGGUUGUAAACUGCUUUUGUACGGGAAGAAACACUCCUACGUGUAGGAGCUUGACGGUACCGUAAGAAUAAGCAUCGGCUAACUCCGUGCCAGCAGCCGCGGUAAUACGGAGGAUGCAAGCGUUAUCCGGAAUCAUUGGGUUUAAAGGGUCCGUAGGUGGAUUGGUCAGUCAGAGGUGAAAUCCUGCAGCUUAACUGUAGAACUGCCUUUGAUACUGCUGAUCUUGAGUCAUUGUGAAGUAGUUAGAAUAUGUAGUGUAGCGGUGAAAUGCAUAGAUAUUACAUAGAAUACCGAUUGCGAGGGCAGAUUACUAACAAUGUACUGACACUGAUGGACGAAAGCGUGGGGAGCGAACGGGAUUAGAUACCCCGGUAGUCCACGCCGUAAACGAUGGAUACUAGCUGUGCGGCUUCGGCUGUGUGGCUAAGCGAAAGUGAUAAGUAUCCCACCUGGGGGAGUACGUUCGCAAGAAUGAAACUCACUGGAGUUGACGA